UGGGGAAUAUUGCACAAUGGGCGAAAGCCUGAUGCAGCAACGCCGCGUGAGUGAUGAAGGCCUUCGGGUUGUAAAGCUCUGUCUUUUGGGACGAUAAUGACGGUACCAAAGGAGGAAGCCACGGCUAACUACGUGCCAGCAGCCGCGGUAAUACGUAGGUGGCAAGCGUUGUCCGGAUUUACUGGGCGUAAAGGAUGCGUAGGCGGAUUUUUAAGUGAGAUGUGAAAUACCCGGGCUUAACUUGGGUGCUGCAUUUCAAACUGGGAAUCUAGAGUGCGGGAGAGGAGAAUGGAAUUCCUAGUGUAGCGGUGAAAUGCGUAGAGAUUAGGAAGAACACCAGUGGCGAAGGCGAUUCUCUGGACCGUAACUGACGCUGAGGCAUGAAAGCGUGGGUAGCAAACAGGAUUAGAUACCCUGGUAGUCCACGCCGUAAACGAUGAGUACUAGGUGUAGGAGGUAUCGACCCCUUCUGUGCCGCAGUUAACACAAUAAGUACUCCGCCUGGGAAGUACGAUCGCAAGAUUAAACUCAAAGGAAUUGACGGGGUCAUAGCUGUUUUUCCU
rnacentral:rRNA from 1 species